rnacentral:rRNA from 1 species
UACGAAGGGGGCUAGCGUUGCUCGGAAUUACUGGGCGUAAAGCGCACGUAGGCGGCUUUCUAAGUCGCGUGUGAAAGCCCCCGGCUCAACUGGGGAGGGUCACGCGAUACUGAUCGACUCGAAGGCAGGAGAGGGAAGUGGAAUUCCCGGUGUAGUGGUGAAAUGCGUAGAUAUCGGGAGGAACACCAGUGGCGAAGGCGACUUCCUGGCCUGUUCUUGACGCUGAGGCGCGAAAGCUAGGGGAGCAAACGGG